rnacentral:rRNA from 1 species
UACGUAGGGUGCAAGCGUUGUCCGGAAUUAUUGGGCGUAAAGAGCUCGUAGGCGGUUUGUUGCGUCGGCUGUGAAAUCCCGAGGCUUAACCGAGGCAGGUCGUCGGAUACUGCAGGGCUAGAGGACGGUAGAGGCGUGUGGAAUUCCGGGUGUAGUGGUGAAAUGCGUAGAGAUCCGGAGGAACACCAGUGGCGAAGGCGACACGCUGGGCCGUACCUGACACUGAUGCGCGACAGCAUGGGGAGCAAACAGG